rnacentral:rRNA from 1 species
UACGUAGGUGGCAAGCGUUAUCCGGAUUUAUUGGGCGUAAAGGGAACGCAGGUGGUUUAUUAAGUCUGGUGUAAAAGGCAGUGGCUCAACUAUUGUAUGCAUUGGAAACUGGUAGACUUGAGUGCAGGAGAGGAGAGUGGAAUUCCAUGUGUAGCGGUGAAAUGCGUAGAUAUAUGGAGGAACACCGGUGGCGAAAGCGGCUCUCUGGCCUGUAACUGACACUGAGGCUCGAAAGCGUGGGGAGCAAACAGG